AGAGUUUGAUCAUGGCUCAGAACGUACGCUGGCGGCACGCCUAACACAUGCAAGUCGAACGAAGUAGCAAUACUUAGUGGCAGACGGGGUGAGUAACAUGUGGGUAUCUGCCCUUUGGCCUGGAAUAACACGAGGAAACUUGUGCUAAUACCGGAUAAGUCUUUACGGAGAAAGCUUUAUGCACCAUUGGAUGAGCCUGCACUUGAUUAGUUNNUUGGUGGGGUAAUGGCCUACCAAGACUGUGAUCAAUAGCGUGAUUUGAGAGGAUA
rnacentral:rRNA from 1 species